rnacentral:rRNA from 1 species
AUUGAACGCUGGCGGCAGGCUUAACACAUGCAAGUCGGACGGUAACGGGAAGAAAGCUUGCUUUCUUUGCUGACGAGUGGCGGACGGGUGAGUAAUGCUUGGGAAUCUGUUUUAUGGAGGGGGAUAACUACGGGAAACUGUAGCUAAUACCGCGUAAUAUCGAGAGAUUAAAGUGUGGGACCGUAAGGCCACACGCCAUAGAGUGAGCCCAAGUGGGAUUAGGUAGUUGGUGGGGUAAGGGCCUACCAAGCCAUCGAUCUCUAGCUGGUCUGAGAGGAUGACCAGCCACACUGGGACUGAGACACGGCCCAGACUCCUACGGGAGGCAGCAGUGGGGAAUAUUGCACAAUGGGCGCAAGCCUGAUGCAGCCAUGCCGCGUGAAUGAAGAAGGCCUUCGGGUUGUAAAGUUCUUUCGGUGGUGAGGAAGGUUGGCGUGUUAAUAGCACGUUAAUUUGACGUUAGCCACAGAAGAAGCACCGGCUAACUCCGUGCCAGCAGCCGCGGUAAUACGGAGGGUGCGAGCGUUAAUCGGAAUAACUGGGCGUAAAGGGCACGCAGGCGGAUACUUAAGUGAGGUGUGAAAGCCCUGGGCUUAACCUAGGAAUUGCAUUUCAUACUGGGUAUCUAGAGUAUUUUAGGGAGGGGUAGAAUUCCACGUGUAGCGGUGAAAUGCGUAGAGAUGUGGAGGAAUACCGAAGGCGAAGGCAGCCCCUUGGGGGAAUACUGACGCUCAUGUGCGAAAGCGUGGGGAGCAAACAGG